ensembl:miRNA
AGGUUGGUGCAAAAGUGAUCACGGCUUUUGCGAUUUUUUAAUGACAAAAACCACAAUUACUUUUGCACAAACCU